GGCGACCGGCGCACGGGUGAGUAACACGUAUCCAACCUGCCCUUUACUCGGGGAUAGCCUUUCGAAAGAAAGAUUAAUACCCGAUAGCAUAAUGAUUCCGCAUGGUUUCAUUAUUAAAGGAUUCCGGUAAAGGAUGGGGAUGCGUUCCAUUAGGUUGUUGGUGAGGUAACGGCUCACCAAGCCUUCGAUGGAUAGGGGUUCUGAGAGGAAGGUCCCCCACAUUGGAACUGAGACACGGUCCAAACUCCUACGGGAGGCAGCAGUGAGGAAUAUUGGUCAAUGGGCGCUAGCCUGAACCAGCCAAGUAGCGUGAAGGAUGAAGGCUCUAUGGGUCGUAAACUUCUUUUAUAUAAGAAUAAAGUGCAGUAUGUAUACUGUUUUGUAUGUAUUAUAUGAAUAAGGAUCGGCUAACUCCGUGCCAGCAGCCGCGGUAAUACGGAGGAUCCGAGCGUUAUCCGGAUUUAUUGGGUUUAAAGGGAGCGUAGGUGGACUGGUAAGUCAGUUGUGAAAGUUUGCGGCUCAACCGUAAAAUUGCAGUUGAUACUGUCAGUCUUGAGUACAGUAGAGGUGGGCGGAAUUCGUGGUGUAGCGGUGAAAUGCUUAGAUAUCACGAAGAACUCCGAUUGCGAAGGCAGCUCACUGGACUGCAACUGACACUGAUGCUCGAAAGUGUGGGUAUCAAACAGGAUUAGAUACCCUGGUAGUCCACACAGUAAACGAUGAAUACUCGCUGUUUGCGAUAUACAGUAAGCGGCCAAGCGAAAGCAUUAAGUAUUCCACCUGGGGAGUACGCCGGCAACGGUGAAACUCAAAGGAAUUGACGGGGGCCCGCACAAGCGGAGGAACAUGUGGUUUAAUUCGAUGAUACGCGAGGAACCUUACCCGGGCUUAAAUUGCAGUGGAAUGAUGUGGAAACAUGUCAGUGAGCAAUCACCGCUGUGAAGGUGCUGCAUGGUUGUCGUCAGCUCGUGCCGUGAGGUGUCGGCUUAAGUGCCAUAACGAGCGCAACCCUUAUCUUCAGUUACUAACAGGUCAUGCUGAGGACUCUGGAGAGACUGCCGUCGUAAGAUGUGAGGAAGGUGGGGAUGACGUCAAAUCAGCACGGCCCUUACGUCCGGGGCUACACACGUGUUACAAUGGGGGGUACAGAAGGCAGCUAGCGGGUGACCGUAUGCUAAUCCCAAAAUCCUCUCUCAGUUCGGAUCGAAGUCUGCAACCCGACUUCGUGAAGCUGGAUUCGCUAGUAAUCGCGCAUCAGCCACGGCGCGGUGAAUAC
rnacentral:rRNA from 1 species